rnacentral:rRNA from 1 species
AGAGUUUGAUCAUGGCUCAGAUUGAACGCUGGCGGAAUGCUUUACACACGCAAGUCGAGCGGCAGCGCGGGGCAACCUGGCGGCGAGCGGCGAACGGGUGAGUAACACAUCGGAACGUAUCCAGUCGUGGGGGAUAGCCCGGCGAAAGCCGGAUUAAUACCGCAUACGACCUGAGGGUGAAAGUGGGGGAUCGCAAGACCUCACGCGAAUGGAGCGGCCGAUGUCCGAUUAGCUAGUUGGUGAGGUAAAGGCUCACCAAGGCGACGAUCGGUAGCUGGUCUGAGAGGAUGAUCAGCCACACUGGGACAGAGACACGGCCCAGACUCCUACGGGAGGCAGCAGUGGGGAAUUUUGGACAAUGGGGGAAACCCUGAUCCAGCCAUUCCGCGUGAGUGAAGAAGGCCUUCGGGUUGUAAAGCUCUUUCGGCAGGAACGAAACGGUUACGGCUAAUACCUGUGACUACUGACGGUACCUGAAGAAGAAGCACCGGCUAACUACGUGCCAGCAGCCGCGGUAAUACGUAGGGUGCGAGCGUUAAUCGGAAUUACUGGGCGUAAAGCGUGCGCAGGCGGUUAUGCAAGCCAGACGUGAAAGCCCCGGGCUUAACCUGGGAAUGGCGUUUGGGACUGCAUGGCUAGAGUACGUCAGAGGGGGGUGGAAUUCCACGUAGCAGUGAAAUGCGUAGAGAUGUGGAGGAACACCGAUGGCGAAGGCAGCCCCCUGGGAUGAUACUGACGCUCAGGCACGAAAGCGUGGGGAGCAAACAGGAUUAGAUACCCUAGUAGUCC